CUGGCGGGAUCCCCUAAACACAUGCAAGUCGAACGGUAACAGGUCUUCGGAUGCUGACGAGUGGCGAACGGGUGAGUAAUACAUCGGAACGUGCCCGAUCGUGGGGGAUAACGGAGCGAAAGCUUUGCUAAUACCGCAUACGAUCUACGGAUGAAAGCAGGGGACCGCAAGGCCUUGCUCGGACGGAGCGGCCGAUGGCAGAUUAGGUAGUUGGUGGGAUAAAAGCUUACCAAGCCGACGAUCUGUAGCUGGUCUGAGAGGACGACCAGCCACACUGGGACUGAGACACGGCCCAGACUCCUACGGGAGGCAGCAGUGGGGAAUUUUGGAUAAUGGGCGCAAGCCUGAUCCAGCCAUGCCGCGUGCAGGAUGAAGGCCUUCGGGUUGUAAACUGCUUU
rnacentral:rRNA from 1 species